UAGUAUUUCAAAACGAGUUUCCGGAUGGGAAAUAUUUUAAACUAAUAGUUGUGAAUUUAUGUAUAAACUCUGAAUGUGAAUGGUGUAUGAAUGUAUGUAUAUUCAUAAGUGGGAGUUUCCGGGUGGAAAAUAUUUUAAACUAAUAGUUGUGAAUUUAUGGAUAAACUCUAAAUGUGAAUGGUGUAUGAAUGUAUGUAUAUUCAUAAGUGGUGGUUGUAUCUUGUUUGAUGUAUCUUGUACUUGUGUGACGCUAUACAAAUACAUAGGAGACUAUGUCCGUGUGAACAGUGAA
rnacentral:lncRNA from 1 species